rnacentral:lncRNA from 1 species
GCCCUGGCUGGGCUCUUGUGCUGCCCAAGGUGGAUCCAUGGAGGAGAUCCUGUUAAUAAAUCCCUGCUUUAUUCUUUAACUCUGUCCAGCCUCUGUUCUAGGGCAGCCUUCCAAGGCAUCACUGGGAUAUCUCUGAGAGGAGAGCUGAGGCAGCCUGAUCUGUGUCCUGCUGGAGAAAGCACCUUCUGUUGCAUUUUUUUGUGGCUAUUAACUGGAACUCUGAAUGGGAUUCCAUAACUGUUGGGAUGUCAAGUGUUGAAUUUUGAGCCAGACUUCACUUCUUCAGUCCAUUUUCUGCUGUUUACAGGUCUUCCCUGUGAGCGUGAUGUGUUAAAAAUAAACCAACAGUGGCAGGUUUCUAUUUCA